rnacentral:rRNA from 1 species
GUAGUCCACGCUGUAAACGAUGCAUACUAGGUGUUGGUCUUUCGGGGCCAGUGCUGCAGUUAACGCAUUAAGUAUGCCACCUGGGGAGUACGUCGGCAACGAUGAAACUCAAAGGAAUUGACGGGGGCCCGCAUAAGCGGUGGAGCAUGUGGCUUAAUUCGAUGCAACGCGAGGAACCUUACCUGGGCUAAAUCUACAGCGCUACCUCUGGAAACAGAGGGUUCUCUAUGAGACGCUAUAGAAGGUGCUGCAUGGCUGUCGUCAGCUCGUGCCGUGAGGUGUUGGGUUAAGUCCCGCAACGAGCGCAACCCCUGUGGUUAGUUACCAGCACAUAAUGGUGGGGACUCUAGCCAGACUGCCUACGCAAGUAGUGAGGAAGGUGGGGACGACGUCAAGUCAUCAUGGCCCUUACGUCCAGGGCUGCACACGUGCUACAAUGGAUGGUACAGAAGGUCGCUACUCAGCAAUGAGGUGCAAAUCUUUAAAACCAUUCUCAGUUCGGAUCGGAGUCUGCAACUCGACUCCGUGAAGUUGGAAUCGCUAGUAAUCGCGUAUCAGCAAUGACGCGGUGAAUACGUUCCCGGGCCUUGUACACACCGCCCGUCAAGCGAUGGAAGUCAGGAGUACCUGAUGUCGCCCCGGUAAGGGGUGCCUAGGGUAAGCCUGGUAACUGGCGCUAAGUCGUAACAAGGUAAC